rnacentral:rRNA from 1 species
ACGAACGCUGGCGGCGUGCUUCACACAUGCAAGUCGAACGGAAAGGCCCCUUUGGGGGUCCUCGAGUGGCGAACGGGUGAGUAACACGUGAGUAACCUGCCCUUGACUUCGGGAUAACUUCAGGAAACUGGGGCUAAUACCGGAUAGGAAUCCUUGCUGCAUGGUGGGGGUUGGAAAGCUUCGGCGGUUUUGGAUGGACUCGCGGCUUAUCAGCUUGUUGGUGGGGUAGUGGCUUACCAAGGCUUUGACGGGUAGCCGGCCUGAGAGGGCGACCGGCCACAUUGGGACUGAGAUACGGCCCAGACUCCUACGGGAGGCAGCAGUGGGGAAUAUUGCACAAUGGGCGGAAGCCUGAUGCAGCAACGCCGCGUGCGGGAUGACGGCCUUCGGGUUGUAAACCGCGUUCAGCAGGGGCGAAGCUUGUGGUGACGGUACCUGCAGAAGAAGCACCGGCUAACUACGUG